rnacentral:lncRNA from 1 species
GGCUUUCAGGAUAGAAAAUGGAACAGAUGCCUCUCUGUCCCAUAUUAUGAUCUGGAUUAUCUGCUGAGCAGCUUUAUUCAGCCAUAUCCAUCACCUGAAGUUAUUGGAGCUCCCAGCAGAUAGUGGCAUAUGGAAUUUCAUCUGUAUGUUCUGCAGAUCUGAAGACCGUGUUUUCCACUCCAGUGACUUAACUCUUGGUACCUUGCCAAGUAUUUCGCUAGUUGGACUGCUGACGUGAUGACGUGAGACUUUCUGAGUAGCACUGAGAUUUAUCUGGGG